rnacentral:rRNA from 1 species
UUAGGGAGGCCGCCAUUAAGAAUAUUGGGCAAUGCCCGAAAGGGUGCACCAGCAAAACCCCGGGGAGGAAGAAGGUCGUUAAGAUUGUAAAAUCCUUUUAGAGGGGAAGAAUAACAUCGAUUGACUAGAUGGUUGACUGUACCCUUAGAAAAAGCCCCGGAUAACUUCGCGCCAGCAGCCGUGGUAAUUACGGAGGGGGCCAGCGUUGUCCGGAUUUAGGGGGAAUAAAGGGGGCGCCGGCGGGUUAACAAAUUAGAGGUGAAAUCCUACAGAUUAACGGUAGAACAGCCUUUGAAACUGUUAAUUUUGAGUGCGGAAGAGAGAGACGGAAUUCCAGGUGUAGCGGUGAAAUGGGUAGAUAUUUGGAAGAACACCAGUUGCGAAGGCGGUUUUUUGGUCCGUUAAUGACGAUCCGGCGAGAAAGGGGGGGGAGCAAACCGGAUUAAAUACCCUGGUAGUUCACGCCCUAAACGAUUAAUAGUAGUUGUUGGUUUUUUUUAUAUCAGUGCCGCAGCUAACGCAUUAAGUAUCCA